rnacentral:rRNA from 1 species
GACUUUAAGCGGGGGAUCACUCGGUUCUCGGGUCGAUGAAGAUUGCAGCAAGCUGCGAGACUUAGUGUGAAUGGCGGGACACAUGGGUACUUACUCUUUGAACGCAAAUUCCGACCUCGGUCCUUCCCGUGACUUCGUCUGUGUGAGAGUCU